rnacentral:rRNA from 1 species
UCUACGGGAGGCAGCAGUGAGGAAUAUUGGACAAUGGGCGCAAGCCUGAUCCAGCCAUGCCGCGUGCAGGAUGACGGUCCUAUGGAUUGUAAACUGCUUUUGCACAGGAAGAAACAACUCUACGUGUAGAGUCUUGACGGUACUGUGAGAAUAAGGAUCGGCUAACUCCGUGCCAGCAGCCGCGGUAAUACGGAGGAUCCAAGCGUUAUCCGGAAUCAUUGGGUUUAAAGGGUCCGUAGGCGGUUUAGUAAGUCAGUGGUGAAAGCCCAUCGCUCAACGGUGGAACGGCCAUUGAUACUGCUAGACUUGAAUUAUUAGGAAGUAACUAGAAUAUGUAGUGUAGCGGUGAAAUGCUUAGAGAUUACAUGGAAUACCAAUUGCGAAGGCAGGUUACUACUAAUGGAUUGACGCUGAUGGACGAAAGCGUGGGUAGCGAACAGGAUUAGAUACCCUGGUAGUCCACGCCGUAAACGAUGGAUACUAGCUGUUGGGCGCAAGCUCAGUGGCUAAGCGAAAGUGAUAAGUAUCCACCUGGGGAGUUACGUUGCAAAGAAUUGAAACUUCAAAGGAAUUGACGGNGUUGAGAGNGCGAGGACGACGACGAGGAGGAG